GAGCUAUCUGGAAGUACUUUUUGUUGGAACUAUACACAGAAGAUUAACAUUGCCUCAGUGCAAUGAUGACACACAAAUUCAUAAAGCAUCCCAUAACUUU
rnacentral:snRNA from 1 species